UACAGAGGGUGCGAGCGUUAAUCGGAAUUACUGGGCGUAAAGCGCGCGUAGACGGUUUUUGUAAGUCAGAUGUGAAAUCCCUGGGCUCAACCUGGGAACUGCAUUUGAGACUGCAUGGCUAGAGUAUCGAAGAGGGAAGUGGAAUUUCCGGUGUAGCGGUGAAAUGCGUAGAUAUCGGAAGGAACACCAGUGGCGAAAGCGACUCCUGGUCGAAUACUGACGUUCAUGUGCGAAAGCGUGGGGAGCAAACAGG
rnacentral:rRNA from 1 species